GUUCCUACGGGACGCAGCAGUGGGGAAUAUUGGACAAUGGGGGGAACCCUGAUCCAGCGACGCCGCGUGAGUGAAGAAGUAUUUCGGUAUGUAAAGCUCUAUCAGCAGGGAAGAAAAUGACGGUACCUGACUAAGAAGCCCCGGCUAACUACGUGCCAGCAGCCGCUGUAAUACGUAGGGGGCAAGCGUUAUCCGGAUUUACUGGGUGUAAAGGGAGCGCAGACGGCAGUGCAAGUCUGGAGUGAAAGCCCGGGGCCCAACCCCGGAACUGCUCUGGAAACUGUGCGGCUAGAGUACUGGAGGGG
rnacentral:rRNA from 1 species